rnacentral:misc_RNA from 1 species
UGUGGCAAUGACGUGGCCAAAGAAAGCUAACAUGGCAAUCGUUGAUGUGGUAGAUUUCAAGAAGCGAUUAGAUGCAACAAGCUCACGUAAGCUGGGUAAGAUCACCUGCCUUACUCGCAGAUCCCUUGACCCGACCCAACGGGUUAUUGCAACUGGAGAGGCCGACAGCAAUUUAGCCUAAGAGUGUCUAAGAGGGUGCAGAUG